rnacentral:rRNA from 1 species
AGCCGCGGUAAUACGUAGGGGGCGAGCGUUGUCCGGAUUUACUGGGCGUAAAGGGUGAGUAGGCGGUUAUAUAUGUCAGGUGUAAAAAGCUAUGGCUUAACCAUAGUAAGCACUUGAAACUGUAUGACUUGAGUGCAGGAGAGGUAAGCGGAAUUCCUAGUGUAGCGGUGAAAUGCGUAGAUAUUAGGAGGAACACCGGUGGCGAAGGCGGCUUACUGGACUGUAACUGACGCUGAGUCACGAAAGCGUGGGUAGCAAACAGGAUUAGAUACCCUGGUAGUCCACGCUGUAAACGAUGAGGGCUAGGUGUGGGGUAGCGAUAUUCAGUGCCGGAGUAAACACAAUAAGCACUCCGCCUGGGGAGUACGGUCGCAAGACUGAAACUCAAAGGAAUUGACGGGGACCCGCACAAGCAGCGGAGCAUGUGGUUUAAUUCGAAGCAACGCGAAGAACCUUACCAAGGCUUGACAUCCCCUUGACAGAUGCAGAGAUGUAUCCUCCCCUUCGGGGGCAAGGGAGACAGGAGGUGCAUGGCC